rnacentral:rRNA from 1 species
GAUGAACGCUAGCGGCAGGCUUAACACAUGCAAGUCGAGGGGUAACAUAGAGAAGCUUGCUUUUCUGAUGACGACCGGCGCACGGGUGCGUAACGCGUAUGCAACCUACCUCUUACUGGGGAAUAGCCCGGAGAAAUCCGGAUUAAUGCCCCAUAGUAUUGCUUUUUCGCAUGUUAAAGCAAUUAAAGGUUACGGUAAGAGAUGGGCAUGCGUCCCAUUAGCUAGAUGGUAAGGUAACGGCUUACCAUGGCAACGAUGGGUAGGGGGCCUGAGAGGGUGAUCCCCCACACUGGUACUGAGACACGGACCAGACUCCUACGGGAGGCAGCAGUGAGGAAUAUUGGACAAUGGACGCAAGUCUGAUCCAGCCAUGCCGCGUGCAGGAAGAAUGCCCUAUGGGUUGUAAACUGCUUUUAUUUGGGAAUAAACCCCUCUACGUGUAGAGGGCUGAAGGUACCAAACGAAUAAGCACCGGCUAACUCCG